AAAUCAGUUGCAGGAGUCUGACCUCACCUUCAACCACAAGGUAACCUGAGUUGUGUCCAACACACUGACCCCUUGGCGCCCCCUGCAGGUGAUGGUAGUGGCCCUUAGAGCCUUGAACAUGGGUUUCUGGUGUGUUGGUUUUUCAGAUCGCAGUUCAGGAAAGGAAUGCUCUGGCUAACUGGACUGUGCGUGAUGAAAGGGGAGAUGCUGCCCGUGGGAUCCAUGAGGCGGGAACUGAUGCCGGGAGGGCCCGAGUUGCAGAAGCCUGUGUGGCAAGGUAGGGAGCACGAUGUGAAAUGCAGCAGCCUGAUUUCUGCUGUGAAACCACACGGUGUCCUUCCUGUUCCUUGGGGUGAUCGCUGUGUGUCCUGGAGAGAAUCACAAGCCUGCAGGUUCUUUGAAGGGGUGACAGGAGUGUGCUUUCCUUAUAUGCCCCCAGGCAGAAGGACACCUGCCCCCGUGACAGGUGGAGCUCACGCUGCACCACACCUUCCCCCCUGCUACCCCUUUUGGAAAAAGCUGAGCCUGAGAAUGUGGGAGGCGAGUGCCCUUCCCACCUUGACUCAGUGGCCAAGUCUUGGGGGAAAAAAAGGCCUUCUCAGGGCCUCAGCUUUUAUUUUAAUCUGUCAUAGAGAGAACAUACUGGAUUCUGAGGUCACUAGAGCAAUAGGAGUUGAAGUACAUAAAGAACCUGCAGGGGCUUCUGGGCGACUCUGUCGGUUAAGCAGCAGAAUCUUGAUUCCUGCUCAGGUCAUGAUCUCGAGCUUUUGAGAUUGAGCCCCAAGUUGGGCUCGGUGCUGAGUGUGGAGCCUAUCUGGGAUUCUCUCUCUCCCUCACCUUCUCCCCCAUCCCUCUUUGCUCACAAGUUUGUGUUUUCUCUGUCUCUUCUCAAAAAGGAAAAAAUAAUAAUAAUUGGCAAAGAAUCUGGGCUCUGACCAUUCACCAUUCUCACUGUUUAAAUGAAAAUAGCUCCAUGCCAAUGAGCAUCAAAAAAUGUUUAUUUAAGU
rnacentral:lncRNA from 1 species